UACGAAGGGGACUAGCGUUGUUCGGAAUCACUGGGCGUAAAGCGCACGUAGGCGGAUGUGUCAGUCAGGGGUGAAAUCCCGAGGCUCAACCUCGGAACUGCCUUUGAUACAGCACGUCUCGAGUCCGGAAGAGGUGGGUGGAAUUCCUAGUGUAGAGGUGAAAUUCGUAGAUAUUAGGAAGAACACCGUGGCGAAGGCGGCCCACUGGUCCGGUACUGACGCUGAGGUGCGAAAGCGUGGGGAGCAAACAGGAUUGAGAU
rnacentral:rRNA from 1 species